GACGAACGCUGGCGGCGUGCCUAAUACAUGCAAGUCGAGCGAGUCUGCCUUGAAGAUCGGAGUGCUUGCACUCUGUGAAACAAGAUACAGGCUAGCGGCGGACGGGUGAGUAACACGUGGGUAACCUGCCCAAGAGAUCGGGAUAACACCUGGAAACAGAUGCUAAUACCGGAUAACAACAGAUGAUGCCUAUCAACUGUUUAAAAGAUGGCUCUGCUAUCACUCUUGGAUGGACCUGCGGUGCAUUAGCUAGUUGGUAGGGUAACGGCCUACCAAGGCGAUGAUGCAUAGCCGAGUUGAGAGACUGAUCGGCCACAUUGGGACUGAGACACGGCCCAAACUCCUACGGGAGGCAGCAGUAGGGAAUCUUCCACAAUGGACGCAAGUCUGAUGGAGCAACGCCGCGUGAGUGAAGAAGGGUUUCGGCUCGUAAAGCUCUGUUGUUGGUGAAGAAGGACAGGGGUAGUAACUGACCUUUGUUUGACGGUAAUCAAUUAGAAAGUCACGGCUAACUACGUG
rnacentral:rRNA from 1 species